GUAAUCGCGGAUCAGCAUGCCGCGGUGAAUACGUUCUCGGGCCUUGUACACACCGCCCGUCACACCAUGGGAGUCGGUAACACCCGAAGUCUGUAGCCUGACGCAAGAGGGCGCAGCCGAAGGUGGGAUUGAUGACUGGGGUGAAGUCGUAACAAGGUAUC
rnacentral:rRNA from 1 species